rnacentral:rRNA from 1 species
CAGCCACCUUUUAAAAAGCGUUAAAGCUUAAUUUAACCUUAUAUAAACCCCUCAAUUAUUUAUGAACCCUUACCCCUUACUGAAUGAUUUUAUAAUAUAUAAAAAACACCAUGCUAGAACUAGUAACAAGAAUUCAACAUUCUCCAAAAUGCAAGUGUAAGCCAAAAUGGAUCCCCCAUUGGCAAUUAACGAAAAUGAGUAAUCUGCAGUAACAUAACAAGAAAAAUCUGCACUUUACAAUCGUUAACCUAACACCAGAACAUUCCCGGAAAGAUUAAAAGAAAAAGAAGGAACUCGGCAAAUUUCAACCCCGCCUGUUUACCAAAAACAUCGCCUCUUGCCAACAAUAAGAGGUCCAGCCUGCCCAGUGAUAGAAUUCAACGGCCGCGGUACCCUAACCGCGCGAAGGUAGCACAAUCACUUGUUCUUUAAAUAGGGACUUGUAUCAACGGCACCACGAGGAUUGUACUGUCUCCUUUCUCUAAUCAGUGAAACUGAUCUCCCCGUGAAAAAGCGGGGAUACAUAUAUAAGACGAGAAGACCCCAUGGAGCUUUAAACCUACAGCAACUCAAUUAUAAAAUUCUUCACAAUCUUAGAGAAAUGACUAUUGGUUUUAGGUUGGGGUGACCACGGAGUAAAAACUAACCUCCACAACGCACAAACCUAAAUUUUUAUUUAAGAGCCACAACUCUAAAAAUUAGCACACUAACGUAUACUGAUCCGAUAAUCGAUUAAUGAACCAAGUUACCCUGGGGAUAACAGCGCAAUCUAUUUAAAGAGUUCAUAUCGACAAAUAGGCUUACGACCUCGAUGUUGGAUCAGGGUAUCCCAGUGGUGCAGCCGCUACUAAUGGUUCGU